AUAAAAGAAUAUUGAAUUUUUGUCCUAUCACUAGUCAUAAAGGUGAACAUUUGGUUGUGUCUAUUAGUAAUUGUUUACUUGAUUGGAAGUUGGAUAACGUUUUUACUGUUACGGUUGAUAAUGCCUCUUUAAAUGAUGUGGCAGUUUUAGAGUUGUCCAAAAAAUUAGAUACGUGGGGAACUAAUAUGAUGGAAGGUAAGAAUCUCCAUUUGAGAUGUAUGACUCAUAUACUUAAUCUAAUUGUGCAAAAUGGUUUGAAUGAAAUUGGUCCUUCUAUCAAAAGGGUGAGACAAAUGAUGAAAUAUGUUAGAUCAUCUUCUUCAAGGACAAGAAAUUUCUUGAAAUGUGUUGGAAUUCAAAAGAUAGAAUGUGAUAACAUGUUGUCUUUAGAUGUGCCUACUAGGUGGAAUUCCACCUAUUUGAUGUUAGACACAACACAAAAAUUUGAGGAGGCUUUUGAGAGGUAUGAUCUUUAUGAUAGUAAAUUUAAUUCUUUUCCUGUGAAGAUGGAAGUGUCACAAGUUCAAUUCAAUAUGAAGAUUGAGCUAAUGUGAGGAAUGUCACAAAGUUUCUUGAAAAAAUUUAUGAGCUCACUUUGAAAGUUUCAGGUUCACGAUAUGUUAAUUGUAAUGUUCAUUUUGAAAAUAUAUGUUAACUUGAUGCUUAUUUGAAAUUAUGUAUGGCAAGUGAUAACCUUGAUUUGAGUAAAAUGACUUCGGGAAUGAAAGAAACAUUCAAAAAAUAUUGGGAUACUCUUGAAAAAAUGAACAAAAUGAUUUUUAUUUCUUUUGUUUUGGAUCCUCGCAAUAAAUUUGUGUAUGUUAGUUUUACUCUUGAAGAAUUACUUGGGGAAGAAACGAGAAAUGUAGUGAAUACGAAAGUAGAUGCUUACUUGAGUGAUUUGUUUGCGAUAUAUAUAAGUAAGUAUGGAAAAGGUUCCAAAAGUCAACCAUCUUCAUCUGACUUAUCUGAUUCUUCUGCUUGUGGUAUUUCUCAAAAUGUGUCCAAAAAUUCUUUGAGAACGAAGUUUCACAUGAAGAAACAAAAGCAAGAUUUUGGAAGUUUAGGUGUUAAAUCUGAGUUGGAUAAAUAUCUUCUUGAAGACCAAGAGCCUGAAUCUGGAGAUUUUGAUAUUUUGAGUUGGUGGAAAGUUAAUUCUCCUAGAUUUUCUGUACUUUCACAGUUGGAUCGAGAUGUAUUAGCUAUUCCUAUGUUGAGUGUGGCAUCGGAAUGUGCAUUUAGGACCGGUGAUCGUAUUCUAGAUCCCUUUAGAAUUUCAUUGACUCCCAAAUUUGUGCAAUGUCUUAUUUGUGUUCAAGAUUGGCUUAGACAAGAAACCAAGCCUAUUUGUGUUGAAGAAAGUUUGGAGUUUCUUGAAAAAAGUUGAACUUGAGAUGGCAAAUAGUGGAAGAAACUCUUUCAUUGUUGAUCUAUGAUUGACUUGCAAGCGUCCAAGAAUCAAGACAAUGAAGAAAUAAUUUUGUUGACACGUGACACUUGAAAGUUGAAAGCGGUCUAAUGGAAGAAAGUCAAGAAACUCAUUAUUGUUGUUUGUUAUUGUUGACAUUUGAAUUGAAAAUAAUCUCAUGGAAG